GCAUACAGAACGAGGGAAAAGUAGAUUUUUUAAGAUAUGCCAAGAUGCAUGCAUAUAAAAGUGCAUAUAUAUCUUGCUUGUUCGUGGCUUUUCGUUAGUAAUGUGCAUGAGUGAGCCUAUUGGCUGGUCCCAGCAGCUCCAGUCACUGCUUCCAGGGUGGAAAGGCAACAAGGGGACACUAAGCACCCCUCAAAAUAUAAUUACAUACCUUAUAAGGUUUUUGGAAUUACUUCUUAAACUCCAAAUCUUUAUUGCCUCUGUUAUCCAUUUGAAUAAGGACUAAUAUUGUUUGCCAUGAAUUGCAAUUGCAUAAGUGCCAGCAAUUGUUUGAUCAAGCUAAGUAUACGUAAUUUUCUAAAGCCAAUUAUGUAUCUAGAAGUUCACAUUGCAUGUGUAAAAUUAUCAUGACACCAGUAUCUAAAUGGUAUGUAUAUGGUAGACAUACGGAGAAGCAUAUGUAAAAAUGCAUAAAUUAUUUUAUUGUUUGAGACUAUAUUUUGUACAAAUAGUCUGGGUGUUUCGGCAUUAGUACAAGAGUAAGUCUAUUGCUCUGUUUUUCAUGGGUAAUAACCAAAAUGGACAUAUGGCAUGUUUUAUUAAAGGGAUUGGGUUGUCCUAACACAAAUGUGUUGAUUAGUAAUGCAGUAUACUAGCACUUAAGUAUGAUGGGGGAUUAAUUCAAGUACGGUUUAUAAUGAUAUUAACUCCAUGCGGAAUUUGCAUGACUAAUCAAAUUAGUUUUGUCUACAAUUUUGCUUUCCUAUCUCAGUAUAGUCAUUUAAUUGUACAUGACUAAUGCAUAACUUAUGGAUUGACUGAGAAGGACAGAAAGCAUCCAAUGACAAGAAUAAGGGUAUAAUACAAGUGAAUAAGGUUUGUAGUAAUUAUGUGACAAUUCUCAUUUGUAUUUUAACUAUUUAUUUGAGAAUUGUGGUUGGUCAUGUGAUUAUAAAUAUGUUUAUAAAGAAGUGGUGAACAUAUGAAGGCGUAAGGUAUGUAUUUCAUUCAGAGCAUGUGACUAAAUUGAUAAGCAUAAGUCUUCAAACUUGUAUAUAGUUUAUUAGUUUUUCCCAUGCCUAAAGAAUUUAAACAAUGCUUUAAUCAGUCAAUUUUUAUGUGCCAUAAAGGGAGAAGAAAAGAAAUUAUUCAAGGCUAAUGUAUGGCAUGUAUUGGAGAUGUUUCUUUUGGAAGAAAAGAAUUUGGUAGUUCCUUUAUUUAAUUUGGUAUUUACAAGGCUAAUGCCCGAUUUUGAUGCUAAUGUUUUAGAAGCCUUGUACUACGGAAAGAAAGGUACAAAAGAAAAGGAACCCGUUUGACUUAAGAAAACAUUUGAGCAAUUUAGUUUUUAUAUUAAAGGAAUGUAUUGUUCUUUUGCAUUACAUAAAGUAUUUCUAUUUCAAGCAAUUGACUCCAUAAUGAUAAGUAUUGACAUUCUUGUGGUGGAAUAAAACUUGUUCUAUAUGUGAUUAAUCUCUUUCAAGUAUGCUGUCAGGUUUCUUGAGAUUAAUUUAAUGUCAAAGGGAGUCAUGAAGGAAUUAGUGCCAUUUGUUGGCAAGACUCAAAGCUCGAAUCAGGUUAUCAUAAUUUUGUCACUUACAAUUAAUUAAUCCAUGUGACUUCUUGUAUCUUCAGGGUGGAGUUGAUCAAUGCCCUUUCAACUAUGCAAGCCGCAACGGCUUAGUUGACGAUGAAACUGUGUUUUUGAGUUACUUCGGUCAACUUUGCAUCCUAAUUAGAAUAAAAGGGAUAAUCUUCUUGCCUACAGGUGUGGAUUACUUCUUUUAGUUUAAUUAAGAUGGCAUAGUAUGGGUUUUAUUUCACAUAAGUUGUGAAAAUCUUCAUCUUGCCUACAGGUGUUGAAGUUUUUCAUGAAGGUACUUUUGUGACAUAAAAUCUAGUACUAGAAACUAGUUAAUUUUCUUGCCUACAGGUGUAAAUUAACUUAGUUUCAUGAAGUUUAUUGGGAUAAAGUCCAUGCCAUUAGUGACAAAUAUUUCCACAAUGAGCCCCAUAAAAGGUUGUGGUUUGAAGGCAUGGAAAUCGGUUGCAUCAUGAUGUAUUUUGUAUCUCUUCAUGAGACUUGUUGAUGCAAAGUAUUGGACCCAUGAAGGUUAAUCAAGGAUUGCUAAGGUACACAUUGUUUAAAUCUUAUGCUUGUAAAUCUUUUCAAUUGGAACUAUGAUGUCGGUGAAAUUUGACUACUAAAGUUUCCUUUGGACAUCGAAAUUGAAAUGAUAUGAAAUUGAUUUUGUUAUGGAUGCAUAAAGUCAUGGUAGAUGCACAUAAUUGUUUCUGGCAGAAUGCGUGUCUUGAUUUAAAUCGAGUGAAUGACACGUCUAAUGGUCGCCAAAUGACCUGAAUUUUGGACAUGUUCAACAUAUAGAUGUCUACUAUGAGUCUGCAAAUUUUCGUAAUUUUCUGCCAUGUAUUUUAAUUAUGGUGAUUUUACCAGUAACCCAUGCUCGUAUAGACAGUUUUACUGGCAGAUUGUGUUGGUCUUUUUGAGACGUCACCUUAGACUACUUUUUGAUCCAAAACGGCUCUAUAUUUUUAUUUUAUGAAGAUUAGUAUGUCUAUUUUGAUCUGUCUAAUUUUGGUAGCAAUCAAGCUUAUAGAUUUAUCAUGAUAAAUUCCAAAGUAAGUGUAACUCGUUACUGAAAUUCUGUUUGACAACUUUCUGUUGGUUGUGAUGUCUAUAUUAUGUCUAAAAUAUAAAGCAAUUUUAUUUAGGUACAUUUUUUAAAGAGUGUUUGCCCAAGUGGGAGAAUAAGUGAACGAAAAUUGGGCUUCACACUCAUUAACUUAUUUGCAAGUAUAAACUCCGAGAACUUAGUGGGAGUUAUUCUAAAAUUGUGAGCAUUAAGUGGACUUGCAUGAAUCUAUUAAAGCAUUAUUCUAUCUUCCAUGAAUUUGGGUUACUCGAAUAUCUAUAAUAUGUUUAAGUUGCAUGCGUACUUUUUCUGUUACUUGCAAUCAUUUGGUUUUCUCGGUUGAUCAUUUGUUUUGGGGCUCAUAAGGACUUAGCAUGAAUGUGAACUUAUUAAAACAUAUAAGAUGGUUGUUGGAUGCAUGUUUUGUGUAACAGCGGUGAAUGCUUCCAUUCUUAGUUGUACCUUUCAUUGAGGUAAUAUGUAUUCAUUGACUGAGUAAGGCUAUUCCCAAAGGCAUAUUUUCAAAAAUAUGAUUUAAGUAUUGAUUUGCAAAUUAAGUAAUGAUGUUGCAGAUCAGUGGGAGUUUGAGUUUAGUAAUGCCUUACAUUUGCAGAUGACCUAUAAGGUAUGUGUAGAAUCCAUGUAUUCAUUUUAAUCUCCAGUUGGAUUCAUUAAGUCACAUUUUUCGUGUGCUAGUCAAUUAUCUGAUAAAAUAUAUAUCGGAUAUCAAGUUGUUAUCAAAUUGCAUAUUAAAUGGCAUGGCAUGGUUUGUGCACUGCCUCAGUUGUGAGGAUUUCCAUCUUGCCCACAGGUGUUGGAAAUCACUAUGAAAGUAACUGGUAUGGUGCAUAGAUCAAUGUCAAAAACAUAUUAAUUCAUCUUGCUCACAAGUGUUGAAUUAAUUUGUUUUAUGAAGUUUUGGGAUAUUUUACUUGGACAUGUGCCUAUUUGGUAUUUUCAGUUGUGUCCGUUUGCUACAAACAUUGUUUGUAUUGUUACUUAUCUAAUGAAAGUAAUGCAUGACUGUUUUGGAGAUGUAUUCACACCUGCAGGUUAUGGUCGUUUCAUUAGAUGAAGGAUAUUUGCAUUGGCAAACUAAAGGCUUUGAAGAAGCAUAAAGUGUAACUUGUGUGUUACAAUAAAGUGGACCUGAGAUGAUAUAAAGUAAGACUUUUUGGUUAAUUUAAAGUUUAAUUUAAAGUUUCAUCUCUUGAUCAUAAUUUGUGUUUCAUGUAAAUGUGGAUCUUAGCAUGAGUGAUUAUGAAGGUUCUGGGUUGUGUCAACCCUACAACCUUGUUAAUUCCAUGUUAAGAAAUGCAUUUGACAGAAGCUGCAUUAAGGACGAGAUGUAAUCACUGUUACAUGGCCACUAAAGUGACAUUAGUCUCCAAUCUCAAGUAUAAACGUGAAUAUUACAUUUUGUAGACCAAGUGGGAGAAUGUUGGAUUUAUCCAAUAUAAAUCAACCUUUAAGUGGUCUACUACAUGUAAUAGGAAUGUAAUAUUGGAGAAUAAUGAUUGUGAUUUGAUCUCUUAAAGAUAUCAAUUCUAUAUAAGGUGUCUUAUAUUGGAAAUAGGAUUGAUGGAACCCUUAAUAAUAUAUGAUUAUGAUAUUUUACUUGAGAGCCAAGAAAGGAGAGUUUUAGCUUUCCCUUAUGGAUGGAAUCUAAGACUUUUUGGCUAAUAUAUAAACACCGGUCCCUGCUAACCCUAGACACGACAACUAAGGCUUCCCAUAGAGCAUUGUCAUAAAGCUAGGAGUUUACAGAAGAGUUGGUGUUUUCUGUUUGUCACGGCAAACAUAAAGAUUGGAGUUUUAUCGAUCACGUCUUGCUUGCAUGGCUGUUGCAUCUUCGACAACUGCCAUUGGAAUCAGGUCAGUCACUCCUUCGUUUGUGUUUUAAUUGUAUAACCUUGUAAGGCUAACAAGGAUUUCAACAUACGACAAAUUAGUUAAUGAAAUUACACCCCAGAAUUAAAGAAUAUACAUUGCUUACUUUAUUUAUUCUAUUGAUGGGAUACUGACCCUAUUGAUGAUCGUUGUAGCCAUCAUCACAUAGUACCGGCCUUUGCUCUGCAUGGUAUUCUCUUUUUCAUCCACAUCCAUGGUACACUAAAUAUGUUAGAAACAGUCCUGCUGGAACACUGAUAGCCUGAUAUGACAAGCAAUUCUAUACAAUAUGACGUUCAGAACCUCAAUGAAACCAACUAUAUAAUUAUCUAAUCUUUGGCAUCUGUUCCUGUAUUUCUGUUACAAAAUGUAAAAUAUGCAUGGUUCAUGGUAGAAUUUGAUGUAAUUUGGCAUCAUGGGCCUCUCUGGUAUUGGUAGACUUUAUGGUAUAGUGGUCUAGCGUGCGUUCCCUAUCUUUAACACGAAUAAACAUGUCUUCUCAAUAACACUGAUUUGGUCAUCUCUUCUGCAUAAAAGUAUCUACAAUGAAUUUGCGUCUUUUCACCUUUUCAUUUUGUGUGAAAACUAACUUGUUAAUUGUAUCAG
rnacentral:lncRNA from 1 species